CAGGAUUAGAUACCCCGGGGUAGUCCCACCCCCGUUUAAACCGGAUGGAGGCUAAAAGUUUUAAGGGGGUUUCCCGCCCCUUUAAGUGCUGCCAACUUAACNGCAUUUAAGCCAACUCCCGCCUGGGGGAAGUACGGCCGCAAGGCCUGAAACUCAAAAGGAAUUGACGGGGGCCCGCAACAACGGUGGAGCAUGUGGUUAAAUUCGAAGCAACGCGAAGAACCUUACCAGGUCUUGACAUCCCACUGACCGGUGUAGAGAUACACCUUUCCCUUCGGGGACAGUGGUGACAGGUGGUGCAUGGUUGUCGUCAGCUCGUGUCGUGAGAUGUUGGGUUAAGUCCCGCAACGAGCGCAACCCUUGAUCUUAGUUGCCAGCAUUUAGUUGGGCACUCUAAGGUGACUGCCGGUGACAAACCGGAGGAAGGUGGGGAUGACGUCAAAUCAUCAUGCCCCUUAUGACCUGGGCUACACACGUGCUACAAUGGACGGUACAAAGGGUUGCCAACCCGCGAGGGGGAGCGAAUCCCAGAAAACCGUUCUCAGUUCGGAUUGUAGGCUGCAACUCGCCUGCAUGAAGCCGGAAUCGCUAGUAAUCGUGGAUCAGCAUGCCACGGUGAAUACGUUCCCGGGCCUUGUACACACCGCCCGUCACACCACGAGAGUUUGUAACACCCGAAGUCGGUGAGGUAACCCUUGUGGAGCCAGCCGCCGAAGGUGGGACGGCUGAUUGGGGCUGAAGUCGUAACAAGGUAGCCGUAUCGGAAGGUGUGGCUGGAUCACCUCC
rnacentral:rRNA from 1 species